AAAAUACUCCCUCCGUCUCAUAUUAAGUGUCGAAAUAUUACAUGUAUCUAGAUGUUUUUUAAGUGUAGAUACAUCCACAUUUGAACAAAUUUGAAACACUUAAUAUGGGACGGAGUGAGUAGUAC
rfam:Brachypodium distachyon strain Bd21 chromosome 4, whole genome shotgun sequence.